GACGAACGCUGGCGGCGUGCCUAACACAUGCAAGUCGAGCGAGGAGAGUUCCUUUGGGAACAAACCUAGCGGCGGACGGGUGAGUAACACGUGGGCAACCUGCCUUGUAGAGGGAAUAGCCUUCCGAAAGGAAGAUUAAUACCGCAUAAUAUUACAGUUUCGCAUGAAACAGUAAUUAAAGGAGCAAUCCGCUACAAGAUGGGCCCGCGGCGCAUUAGCUAGUUGGUGAGGUAACGGCUCACCAAGGCGACGAUGCGUAGCCGACCUGAGAGGGUGAUCGGCCACAUUGGGACUGAGACACGGCCCAGACUCCUACGGGAGGCAGCAGUGGGGAAUAUUGCACAAUGGGGGAAACCCUGAUGCAGCAACGCCGCGUGAGUGAUGAAGGUUUUCGGAUCGUAAAGCUCUGUCUUCGGGGACGAUAAUGACGGUACCCGAGGAGGAAGCCACGGCUAACUACGUG
rnacentral:rRNA from 1 species